rnacentral:pre_miRNA from 14 species
GUUUAUUGUUUUGAAAGAUCCCCGAAGAGAGACCCUUACUCAAGUCUCGGGAAGUCGCGGACCCCAGACACAGAGAGACCA